rnacentral:misc_RNA from 1 species
AAAAGAUUUGGUCUAUGGGACACUAUACGGAGGCGGAAUUGUAUAAUAAUUUAUGUAGUGUAGUGUUCUUUCCUUAUGCAUUCAAACGAUCCAGCCAUCCAAGAAAUUUAACUAGCAAACUAGCUUUUAUCAGCAUUUACUCACACGGGUCACUAUGUACCGUCCUUUCUCUAGAUCGUAAAUCGUCUUUAACUGAGGUUUCCUCCACUUUGAUACAGACCAUGCUACAAACAACAACAGAAUUGAUACUGCAAUUAGUGAGAGCUUUGUGGGCAACUCAUAGCCGAAGAUUGCCACAAUCCAAUCCCACUGAUCUGGUUCUGACUCUAUUGCAGCUGUGCUUUGCAAGAUGAAAGCUCCCAACGCCCAAUCGAGUGGAAUGUUUUGUACUUGAGUUGCAACAGUGAUGCUCUGAUCCUCUAAUCCAAUUCCAAGACUGUCAUGAAGUAGGGCCACA